AGGUAGAAAUAUAAAUUAGGGAUGCAUACCUAAACAGUGCCUAUAAGUAACAAUUAGUCAGUCUCUUUAGAAUUCAUCCACAAGAUUCAUAUGAAAAUGUCAUGGACUGCAAAAACAAUAGUAUGGAAAAUUUUCUGGCUCUACUGGUGUGAAUCAGAAGAACCACUAUUAUGCCACUAUGCAGCAAAAAAUCAAUUACCGCAGUCACUUGUUAUUCAUAAAAAUAAUAAUAUAAGCAUCUAUUGGUUUAGAGCCAUAC
rnacentral:lncRNA from 1 species